rnacentral:rRNA from 1 species
UACGUAGGUGACCAGCGUUGUCCGGAUUUACUGGGCGUAAAGAGCGCGCAGGCGGUCGUUCAAGUCGAGUGUGAAAGCCCCCCGGCUCAACUGGGGAGGGUCACUCGAUACUGAUCGACUUGAAGGCAGGAGAGGGAAGCGGAAUUCCCGGUGUAGUGGUGAAAUGGCGUAGAUGAUACGGGUACGGGCGGAAGGAAACC